CAAAUGCAAAAGUUUUCUAUGUUAAAAAAACAGCUGUGUUCUGUUUCCUGACACUUUUGGAGCAACUAAUAUUAAUCUGACCCUGAUCUUGUAACAGAAUCGGAGACUGGAAAAGCAUGCACGUUUUGCAAACAGCAGCAUUAAUUACAGGUUAUUAAACAGAAAGGAAGAAUUUCACUCAGUCACAGCUUUGAUUGUCCCGUCAGUGUUUGCUCACAAGAAACAAUGGAUCACAUUUUUCAUUUCUUUGGUCUGCUGGUGUCUCAGAAACAAUCAGCGUAUUUGGUACCAAUAAGCACAUCAGCCAUUUGAUGGCCACAUUCCUU
rnacentral:lncRNA from 1 species